UGCAGGACUUUCUUUUUUCUGAGGAACACAAAAGAUAUUAUGAAUAAUUUUGGGAACCAGUGAGCACUGACUUCCAUUGUAUGGACAAAAUACAUUAUGGUAUCUCUCAAAUUAUGUUUCACAGAAGAAAGUAAGUCAUACAGAUUAAGAAUGACAUGAAGGUGAGUAAAUGGGUGAACUAUCCCUUUAAGGCAGAUGGUAUAUUUACACCUGGAGGCAAACAGACACUCCAAACAUUUAAACCCUAUAACAGGCAACAUAUGGUAUUUAAAAUUCAUAUUCAAUGCUAUUUUUUCUUUCAGUUGACUGGUUACAUUGUGAUGUUUGUCCAUUACCCUGAAGAUUAUCUCUGAGUGUUUCUGACUGUGUUGGAACGGUCAUCCCGCCGUGGACGAACACCAGAGACACGGAAUGAGGGUCGAGCUGAGAGACACGUUCAAGAGUUCAACAGAAUCAAAUGUUAGUUUUGAUGACAGACAGACGGACACUGGAUAGAAAGAGGCGAGUGAUACUCAACCAACCCAAAUAACUGAUGAUCCAAAGUUAAAUCCAAUGAUGAUCCAGUGAUGGCAUUUAGAAUGUUUUUGAAGGAUAUUAUCCUAACUUUCAGGAGAAUAUUCUGGGAACAAAAAUGAAACUUGCCAGAACAUAAUGUUUUCAGAACGUUCUUAGAACAGUUUCUAGCUGAGUUGACACAUGUGCUUUAAGAGAAUGGCUGGCACAGAUAUAACAGGGGUUAUGUGGGAGACUCACUGUAUCAAGAAAGAAAAGUGACCAAACUUCAGUAUAUUGUAAUGGUAACAUAUCUCUGGAACAUGGAGGAGACGUGAUGCUUCUGACAUCCCAGAAGACAUUUUUUGGUAAAAAACAUAACUUGCUAUGUGAUGGUGUUUUUAAGAAUAUUUUCAGUGGACAGGAUCUUCUGGAGUUCUGAAAAAGAGGAUGUGAGAAGGGGGAACAAAAACUAGACACAGCAACUUUUGCAUUAUAUUGAGCUAUUAUACUUGGGCAAGAACGUAGGCAAUAGAUGUGCUGACUGGAUAUAAAUUUGAUCUGCCUAGUAAAAGAGAAAUGGUUAGAACCACAGAAUCACACUGAUGUAUGCUAACUUUGACCAUACUUCAUCAUACAGUAUAUAAACUUGUGUGAUUCAUCAGGUGAGCGAGUCUCUCUGCUGUGAACGAGAAAGCUCCUGGCCGUGAAUAAACACUGCGAUCUGUCUGUGUCACUGCUGUGCAGAAAGGAUCCUGUGGACCAGAUCUCAUUCCAUACAGCAGAAGGAACAGAAACAGCCAAAAAGAUCAUCGGAGAUACUUACUGUGCUGUUUAUAAACCUCAGAAAAUGUCUCAUCCAAACUUCAACAUUUUUCUUAAGAGCGCUGCUCCAGUGAGCUUUUUGAUCGUGGGUUUUGAAGUGAUUUUCAAGACGAAAUUUUCAUGCCCAUGCAUCAUUGGGAUGAACCAAUGUAUAGCACUCUGCAUCUUAAUUGUGCCUGCUGUCUUUGCUUGGGUAAUGGUGUCACUGUUUUUAAAUUGUAUAACACCUGAUAGCAUUGAAAGAUCAGAAACACAUUUAAAUUAUACUAUUAGCUCAAUUCCACCUUUAUUGUGGAUCUGUAUAUUUUUCAUUGAUUCAAUUGUUUGAGUUGGUGCAAACCUGAAGGAGAAAAUGACACUUUGAAAUAUACCAGCACACAAUGGGUGAAUAAUAUAGCGAAGCUAACAGGUUAUAUCUUGGGUAUGUUCUUCUGCUAUUGGGUCUGGAAAGAAAUGCAUGACAACGACAUCAGCCCUAGAACAUCAGUGGAAGACACAGCGGAGCCACCAGCACCAGUGACUUUAGAGCUUGAAGAAAUACCACAAACUGCACAGUGAACACCAUCACUUCAGAUUUAUCCAGUGUCAAAAUCAUGGAUCUGAAGACCUAAUGCUCCAAACCUUAAAAUAUAUUAUAAACCCUCUACUUCUCCAAUAACAGCAGCUAUAUAUAAUAUAUUGAAACAACUGAAAAGCGUUUUUUUUAAUUAACAGGUCACUGAAAUAUUGAGAAAUAGCAGAUUCCAACCUCAGUAAUAACAAUCAGGUGUUGAAGUUCUUUCAUUACAUGGACACACACAGUGAAACUGACUCUUUGAAUUGAUUUAGUUCAGUGUGGAUGCAGAAAAACGCAGAAGAGCCGGAGAGAGAGAGGAAAAACGAUGCUCAGAUGAGAGGAAUAUAGUUAGAUCAGGAUCAGGGAGAGGAGGAAGAAUGUGUGCCGGACAUCGUUUUUGGAGACAGUGAGAGACGGACAACUGCAUAAACUGAAUAAAAUUCAUAUCUCAUGUUCAUUAAUGCUUCUAUAUAUUCACUGGUGAUUUGUGUGAGUGAGUUUUAAUUGAUAGUUUCUGUUGUUUUUCUACUGGUCUUUAACUAAUAUAGAUGAUCAAAGAGCUUUUUUAUUAUUUUAAUCUCUGUAAUCAGAAAUAAAUGGCACUUUUAUUGUUAAUUUGUUUGGAUGUGAACUGUUGU